AUUUACCUACCUUGGUGUCCUUAUUUACAAGGGGAGGCCAAAAAGUUCUUAUUUUCAACCUAUUGCUGACAAAAUCAAAAAUAAACUUACUACUUGGAAAGUCUAUCUACUGUCCAUUGUGGGUAGAAUCCAGCUAGUGAAGUGUGUUAUGUAGGGUAUGCUGAUGCAUUCUCUCAUGAUUUAUUCUUUGCAAUCAGUUUAAUUAAAGAGGUGGAGAGAUG
rnacentral:lncRNA from 1 species